rnacentral:rRNA from 1 species
CAGCAGCCGCGGUAAUACGUAGGGUGCAAGCGUUAAUCGGAAUUACUGGGCGUAAAGCGUGCGCAGGCGGUUUUGUAAGACAGUGGUGAAAUCCCCGGGCUCAACCUGGGAACUGCCAUUGUGACUGCAAGGCUGGAGUGCGGCAGAGGGGGAUGGAAUUCCGCGUGUAGCAGUGAAAUGCGUAGAUAUGCGGAGGAACACCGAUGGCGAAGGCAAUCCCCUGGGCCUGCACUGACGCUCAUGCACGAAAGCGUGGGGAGCAAACAGGAUUAGAUACCCUGGUAGUCCACGCCCUAAACGAUGUCAACUGGUUGUUGGGAAUUUAUUUUCUCAGUAACGAAGCUAACGCGUGAAGUUGACCGCCUGGGGAGUACGGCCGCAAGGUUAAAACUCAAAGGAAUUGACGGGGACCCGCACAAGCGGUGGAUGAUGUUCUUUAAUUCGAUGCAACGCGAAAAACCUUACCCACCUUUGACAUGUAUGGAAUCCUUUAGAGAUGAAGGAGUGCUCGAAAGAGAGCCAUAACACAGGUGCUGCAUGGCUGUCGUCAGCUCGUGUCGUGAGAUGUUGGGUUAAGUCCCGCAACGAGCGCAACCCUUGCCAUUAGUUGCUACGAAAGGGCACUCUAAUGGGACUGCCGGUGACAAACCGGAGGAAGGUGGGGAUGACGUCAAGUCCUCAUGGCCCUUAUAGGUGGGGCUAGAAACGUCAUACAAUGGCCGGUACAAAGGGUAGCCAAGCCGCGAGGUGGAGCCAAUCCCAUAAAGCCGGUCGUAGUCCGGAUCGCAGUCUGCAACUCGACUGCGUGAAGUCGGAAUCGCUAGUAAUCGUGGAUCAGCAUGCCACGGUGAAUACGUUCCCGGGUCUUGUACACACCGCCCGUCACACCAUGGGAGCGGGUCUCGCCAGAAGUAGGUAGCCUAACCGCAAGGAGGGCGCUUACCACGGCGGGGUUCGUGACUGGGGUGAAGUCAUAACAAGGUAGCCGU